UGUUCCCCCUGAAGGUAAUCCUUAGGGCAGAAUAGGAUUAGCUUGUUCUGAGGUACCUUUGGGCGGUAACAGUUCACAGAUUUCUCAAAAUGGGGGAAUUGUGAGAGAUAGAACUCCAUCUUGUAUAUCCUAUAUCAAAGAAGAUUACUGCUU